UUCUUCCAGGCACUUCCUCUCCUCUCCUCCCUUUCCUCCUCUCUCCUCUCUCUACGCCGCCGGCACCUCCCCGGCCGGGCCGCUUGGCCGCUAGCGUAGGGCCUCCGCAGCCAGGCUGCCGGCGCGCGGCCCGCGGGGCCUUCCCAGCCGGGCCGCCUAGCCGCCGGCGGUGGAUUAGGGGUUAACUGAAAUGCCGCGCGGCCCUCAGGAAGCAACCGCAAGGCGCGAGGCCCUCAUGUAGCAAUCAAAAUUUGUUGGGACAAGAAAAUUUGUUUGGGGGGUGUGAUGAUGCCAUCUUCCUUACUUCCCUACUCGCGUCUUCUCCUUGCAGGCAAUGCGUUCCCCGGCUGUCCCUGAUGACAAUACACCCCAAUGCUCGAGGUAGCAGGAGGAACGCAAGGCUGAGGGCCCUUAGCGUGAGGCACGCAGCCCUCCCCGGAUUUUGGAUUGUGCCCCGUUAUGCUUGUUAUAUCAUCUUCUUACUUUUUUGGUGAACGUGAAUGCCAAUGGUAUACAAUAGGUUCGAACAUAUUUGUACAAAGUUGUUGAGAAGUUUUAUGAACUGAUGAUGGCCAUCUUCCUGUUU